UACGUAGGUGGCAAGCGUUGUCCGGAAUUAUUGGGCGUAAAGCGCGCGCAGGUGGUUUCUUAAGUCUGAUGUGAAAGCCCACGGCUCAACCGUGGAGGGUCAUUGGAAACUGGGGAACUUGAGUGCAGAAGAGGAAAGUGGAAUUCCAAGUGUAGCGGUGAAAUGCGUAGAGAUUUGGAGGAACACCAGUGGCGAAGGCGACCUUCUGGUCUGUAACUGACACUGAGGCGCGAAAGCGUGGGGAGCGAACAGG
rnacentral:rRNA from 1 species